UACGAAGGGUGCAAACGUUGCUCGGAAUUAUUGGGCGUAAAGCGCACGUAGGCGGCUUAGUAAGUUGGAUGUGAAAUCCCUCGGCUUAACCAAGGAAGUGCAUCCAAAACUACUGAGCUUGAGUACUAAAGAGGAUCGCGGAAUUCCCGGUGUAGAGGUGAAAUUCGUAGAUAUCGGGAGGAACACCAGUGGCGAAGGCGGCGAUCUGGGUAGAUACUGACGCUGAGGUGCGAAAAGCGUGGGGAGCAAACAGG
rnacentral:rRNA from 1 species